ACUUUUUCAGUUUUCACAUUUAUCCAUUUGCCAGCAAGGUAGGACUUCCCAUGUACACUAAAAAUUCUUGAAUAACUUUUGUUUUGUAUUCUUUACUUUAUUGAUUUAAUGUUUUUAUACGUUUCUAAGAUUUCUCUCAGCUAGUGAAUGUCUUUCUUGAAAUCUGCAGUACCAGUCGGAGGAUGAUAUGAUCGAAUGGGCGAAGAGGGAAAGUGAGAGAGAAGAGGAGCAGAGACUGUCGAGGCUGAAGCAGCAGGAACAGGAAGAUAUUGAGCUUGCAAUAGCGCUCAGCAAGUCUGAAAUUUCCGAAGCAUGAGAUACCAAAGGCUGCAGGAAGUCUGGUGUCAUAACUAAAUUGUCCGUUUCUGGGUUGGGGGGGAAACAUUUAAGGUGGUUAAGUCUUCCUGUACUUAAAAGUAUUUAAAUGCCCUUUUAACCCUUGCCUUACUAGAGAGGGCAAAUAUAAUAUCAUGGUCUCUUUGUCAGUAAACCGGUAACAAGUCCUACUGUGCUGUGAAUGUGGCAGAGGAGUGAUAUUUGAUAUUUUGUACACCGUUGGUGCUUCCGAAGCCAUCACCUGUGUUUUGCACUGAGUAAUCAAUGGCUGUGUGUUUUAAAUAGAAAUGCAGUUAUGUGUCCUUAUAAUAUCUUUGCUUUACAGAGAUGAUUUAGCAGUAAUACGCUGUUAUUCUUAAAAAGAAACCAUGAUAAAAAAAAUGUUUACUUUUGCUAAGCUGUAGCAUAUGUUAACAGAUUUCAAGUAUAAAGGGUUAUUGGUCCUGAUUUAAUUUCCCUUUGUCUAGUGUGAGCUGCUGGGUUCCCUGAGUAUUCUACAGUCAGCAGUCUGUCAGUCUAACUGCUUGAAUCACUGGCAAUAGUCUGAUAUACCUGCCUAGAUUAAGACACUGACCUGUGCUCACGGAUUAUAGGCUGAGGUUAAAGGAGGAAUAAAACCCUAACAUUGUUUAACUUAAAGGAUACGACCAUUACAACUUCACAAAGUAGCCCAUAGUAAUAAGUGCUACAGCAUAUAAAAUCUAUUUUUAUAAUGGUUUCUUUUUAAGCCUAAUUCUUUAACUGUUGCCAGAGGGUUCAGCUCGCUCCUCUGUGUUGCUCUCACACGUGAAAUUAUGCUGGAGGAGAUAUUGGGAUAUUUUACUGGUUCAAGCAAUGCAGUAAAGGAAAGAUAAUAUUCUGAACUGGGCGCGCUGGUUAUAAAACGUCUUUCACUCUUGGUGUCCAGAGGCGCAGUGCAUGUUUCACUGAUGCUGCUUAGAAUUAUUACUCAUCCUUUAUUCCCCACCUUGUUUUGUCCUGUCUCUUCUCUGGGAACUUGUGCCUUGUUUUUUCCCAUUGACCUGCAUACUCGAAAGUCGAUGAUGCUUCUGCGAUAUGUUACAACUUUGUUACAAGCUUACAGUCACUGUAGUAUCUCAGGCAUUUUAUUAGUACUUUUAGUUUUUGUUGGUGCCAAAACUUCUGAUUGGAGACUCUGAAACUAAGUGACGCUGCAAGCAUGAACAAAAAUCACAAAUAAUUUUCUUUUAAUCUAGGCUGAGAUGUCUUAUUCCUUCAGACUCUGGACCAUGAGCCAAAAGUGUCCACUCAGUGUGCACACUCAGCCAGCUGCUAAUACCAUACUUGCUUCUUAAAUAUCACAACAUUUUGGGGUUGUGGGGGAGGUUUAAAAUCUUAAUAAGCAGAAUUUUUUUUUUGGUUUGAUAGUUUUUAUUUUUCAUCCAAAGUUUGAUAACUAGAGGUCUUAACCACCAAUAUAAUCGGAUAUAUGCAUUAUAUGUAUAUAAACUACUAUUAUGCUCUUAUGUAUUCUGAUUUAUAAGUAUGUGUACCUUGUUUUAUAUGGCGCAUAUCCGACCGCUUAAUUUAUAACCUUCAUGUUGGUCAUUGUAAAAAAUUUUGUCGCAUGUGUAUCCAAAAGGUAGAUCUGAAUUUGAGGUUUUACAAUCACUGAACAUCUAGCAUUUGAAAACCCCAGUUUUACACAAUCCACCACCCAAUUUUGGUUUAAUAACACAAAAAAAAAUCUUCCACUCUCUUUGUUCAGAAAAUCUCAAGAUCAUUCUUUUUACCAAAUCAAAUAGGUAGGUGUCAUACAGUAGAAGCCAAGCCAGAUGUGAAAACUCAACAUAUGAAUGUCUUUGCAUCUGGCUACUGAAUCUUGUGACUCUAAUUGGGGAAGCCAAUCAAAGCACAGCACAAUUCAUACAAUUAAAUAUUUGUGUAACAGCAUUACUGUCCUCAAUAAGUUGAAUCAACAUGGACUUAUAGUGGAAUUCUGGAACCAAUGUCGUUGCUGUUAAUUAGUACUAUGUUAGUUUGAUUCAUGCUGCCUACCAGAAAAGUUUAAUGGAACUCAACAGGCUCAGAGCUAUAAAUGGAUUCAGCUUAGUUUAAUUCCAGAUACCAGGCAAUUCCCAUUUUUGAUUAGUAGAAGAUUGUUUUAAUCCCUUAAGGACACCUGUCAUGAUUCCCUUUUAUUCCAGAAGUUGUGUCAUUAAGGGGUUAAAAAGGGUCCGUCCCUGGCAUUAUUAUUUCAGAAAUUAACUCCUUGUGGAGAAAUGAGCAAUUAUGACUGUCAUUGGCCUCCUCUUGUAUAACCUGUUAAACCAAUCUGGUCAAAAUUCUAAAAGUGGAAAAAACAACUAGCACACUCCAUUGUUUCCCUUUGUCAUUGCUCUACUUUUAGACAUUUUCACCGCAUUCACUCAUUUGUUUUUUUACUUUUAGGUCUUUGCAUUUAACCAAAUACUAGUGUUCAUUAAUUAUAAUGGACACCUGGUUUAUUAGGAAUUAACUUGUCUUAAAGGUAUCCUAAUUGUGACAUUUGUGUUAAUCCUUACAUAAGGGGAAACACUGACGUUGUUUUGUCAUGGGAUUAUGGCAGAAGUGAAUGGAUCCGAGGCUGUUUGACAGUGAUUGCUAACAUUUCACUUGUUGUAGUCUAGAUUUUCCAUAAUGGCUGGCCGAUGACUUUACUGCAGAAGGGUUUUCGUAACUGGACUAUUAACAUAAUAUUGUUAAACAAGGUAGCCUCACACCGAAAAAACUGCAGAUAAAGGUGUUUUUCAAUCUUCUUUGUUUUAACUUAAGCUUUUUGGAAGAAUGGGGUUAACUUAUUAGACAUACUUUAGAUUGCAACUUUUUAACUUCCUUGCUUUCGGGAAGUUCCUCUGACUGUAGCUGUCUAUUCUACAGCAUUACUGUGACGUGUGAAUAAUAAUCCUGAAGCACCACUUGCUGUGCACAUUAAAACAGCACCACUACAUUUUUCUCAGACGACAUUAUGACAUUUGAAACCUCUGUAGCAUUUGGAGCCCAUUGCAGAGCCACUCUUUUCAAACUCUCAUAUUGAAAUUGCACAUUACCCUGAAGCAGGGAGAUCUCCUACAUUGAAAGCCUUGGGGGCAAUUUGGUGACCCUUCUGUCAGUUAUGACAAUUACCAACUUAAUCCUUCAGAAUAGUAAGUAAGGAACCACCACUAUUGCGAUAAAUUGUGGUUUUACACGUCAUGAAGUGAAGAAGCUUUUACGAUAGUGACUUGUGUUCUACAUCUACAGUCCAGACCCCUUUAUCGAUACAAUCAAGUCAUUAACUUAAGCCACUGUCAUUUUAUUUUGGUGAUUUUCUUUUUUUCUGUAAUAAAUUGUUAUUUAAUCUGUUUGGAGUAUUUUGAGUAGAACAUUGUAUACAUAGAAUAUGUACAUAUAUCAGUAUUCAGUCAGGCUGAGCAAAAUGUAUUUUGAGUCUAAAUGACAAUGCAUUAUGAACCUGUGUAUGCUUUCUCAUUAACAUUUUACCCAAUAUGUGUUCCCUGAAUUGUUUUGUGUUUGUAAAUACGGAACAAUUGUUUGAGUGUAAAGUUCUGGGGUCGUAGGUUUUUUUUCAUGUUACAGAAUAUUUUUCUCUUUUUUUUUUUUUUUUUUUUGAUACUCUGUACCCAUAUAUGGAUGAGUGUGAUUUGUAUUUUUAUCCCGCUCACCCCCAAUCCCAACAAUAAAUGCUAUUUAAAUGUAUACUAAUAUUUUGCCAGAUAUAGAUUUUUUUUCUUCAUUAUUAUAAAUAAUCUGUGGACCAAUAUUAUUAAAUAUGUAUAAAUAUAUAUAUAUAUAUCCCUAUACAGGAAUUUAAUGGCCUUUUAUCAUAUGUUCUACUGACGUACAGCGAUUGUGUGCUGACAUUUUACCCAUAACCACUAAAACAGACACUUUGUUUUGUUUUUUUCCCUCGGUCCUGUUUAUUGCAGUAAUCACACGCCCCUGGUUGUGUGGUGCCAAAUUCAAUAGAACUGUGAGGUUUAGUGUAGGUUUUAUUUAACGUUGCCUUAUUUCGGUUUUGUUUUUUAAUGUUUCUUUGCAUUUAGACAUUGUAAUUAUUAAAAUAAAAUGUAAGUACAUAAUAAAAUAUAAAUUGAUUGCGAUUGUUUGGUUUAUGAUUACAUCAUGAUCGAAUGUGUAUAAUUACAAUUUUCAUGACCCAUUUCUUGAUCCGAAUUCUAGGAGUAAGCAUUUUUCACGAUCCAUACUUGACGGUUUAUAACUUUCAGUGCUUUACGUACAGAGCUGCUGUAGGUCAGUUGCAAGUAAUAGCUACUCAAACAUGCGGUUACACAUUGUAUGCAAUCAUAGGUGUAAAUAUGAAAAAUAUUUAGAUUUUUAGAAUUCUAUGUGCUCGUAUACAACAGACAUGCAAUAAAGCAGUGCUUAUGUGAUAUCUAUACCAAACAUGUGAUUUAUUGUCAAUAUGUCAUAACCACGGUUUUAUUUUAACUUUUAUGUAUAGACUGAGGUAGUGACAAGUUUUACCAGUUAGCGCCAUUUUUUUUUCUGGCAUGAAUUAUGCAUUUCAACAGUUUAGUUUUUUAUGACUUAUUACUUUUGCUACUUUUCUGUUUAUUUUUUUUUCCCCCCUCCUUUGUGCUGCUUUUUG
rnacentral:lncRNA from 1 species